rnacentral:rRNA from 1 species
AUACGAAGGGGGCUAGCGUUGCUCGGAAUCACUGGGCGUAAAGGGUGCGUACGCGGGUCUUUAAGUCAGGGGUGAAAUCCUGGAGCUCAACUCCAGAACUGCCUUUGAUACUGAAGAUCUUGAGUUCGGGAGAGGUGAGUGGAACUGCGAGUGUAGAGGUGAAAUUCGUAGAUAUUCGCAAGAACACCAGUGGCGAAGGCGGCUCACUGGCCCGAUACUGACGCUGAGGCACGAAGGCGUGGGGAGCAAACAGGAUUAGAUACCCUGGUAGUCAAGGGCG